GCUCUCCUUAGGACAAAAGAUAGAAUAGGAGAGUAACGAUACAGAUUGUAUAGAUUACAAUUAACAUAUAUGGUACCCAACAAGACAUACACAGACAAAAGCACAAAAUACAGAUGUAAUUAAAUCACAAAGUUCUUAAAAUAAAUGCCGGCUUAUAAUAAAUCAAAUCACACACACAGAAACACUCAAGCACAUAAACCGCUCCUUUACC